CAAUCGACAGACAUAAUUUGACCUCCUGCAAACUGUAAACACUUCUGCAAUAUUCUUUUCCCCUUUGUCCUGGAAAAAAUGAGUGUAAAAUAUAUGCAUCUUUUAAACAAAAACUCUAUAAUUGCACACUAAUUAGAGACUUGAAAGCCGAUCUACCAUUGCAGGUGGAAUUGUGUUCAAGGAGAAAAGCUGCACCAAAAUGCAUGAAGUGUUCUCUGAAUAAUCUUGAUUGGUAAAGGCUCAAUUGAUCCACAAAUACUGAAAUUUGAGGGUAUUUUUAGCAAUUCAUACUGUUGGAAAAACUUACAGUUUAUAAUUGUGAGUUGCUUUAUGUAUUUUCUGUGAUUUAGCACCUCGAAUCCGAUUUCGUGAUUGAUUAGUACUUCAUGUUUGUAAUUACUGGGGGAAGGAUGGAGAGUGAUUAUUGAGACUUUUGUGAAGCUUGAUAGUGAAAUUUGAUCUUGAAGAAACCAAAUUAGGCGGUAUGGGUAGCGCUAAGACUAUAGUUUGGUUUAGGAGGGACCUGAGGAUUGAGGAUAAUCCUGCCUUAGCAGCUGCUGCUAGGGAUGGUAGUGUUUUUCCUGUUUAUGUAUGGUGCCCCAAAGAGGAAGGGCAAUUUUACCCAGGUCGAGUUUUGAGGUGGUGGCUGAAGCAGUCUCUUGCUCAUUUGGACCAGUCCUUGAAAUCCCUUGGGGCAGAACUUGUGCUUAUCAAAACUCAGAGUACUCUUGCUGCUCUCUUGGUCUGCAUUCAAGCCAUUGGUGCUACCAAAGUCGUAUUCAAUCAUCUUUAUGAUCCCGUUUCACUCAUUGUUGAUCACAACAUCAAGGGAAAGCUGGUGGAGCUAGGCAUUUCUGUGCAAAGCUUCAAUGCAGAUCUGUUGUAUGAGCCAUGGGAAGUAUGCUGGAAAAGGACAGGCUUACACAACCUUUGAGGCAUACUGGGAUAAGUGCUUACACAUGCAAAGGGAGCUCGUGAUACGCUUUCCUCCAUGGAAAUUGAUGCCGGCAACAGAAACCGUAGCAAAAUCUUCACUCAAGUAACUGGGUCUCGAAAAUGAAACGGAAAAGUCUACAAUGCCCUCCUAGGAAGAGCAUGGUCUCCAAGUUGGAGCAAUGCGGACAAGGCUCUAAGUGAAUUUUUAGAGUUGCACCUGCUUGAUUAUUCAAACAACAGGGUGAAGGUUGGGCAAAACUCCACAUCACUUUUGUCCCCUUAUCUUCACUUCGGAGAACUGAGCGUGAGGAAAGUUUUCCAAUCAGCUCGAAUGAAGCAGAUAAUGUGGGCAAAAGAAGGGAACUCUACAGGGGAAGAGAGUGUGACUCUUUUCUGAGGGCCAUUGGGCUUUAGAGAAUACUCACGGUAUCUAUGUUUUAAUUUCCUGUUCACUCAUGGGAGACCAUUACUGAGCAACUUGAAGUUUUUUCCGUGGCAAGCUGACCAGGCCAAUUUUAAGGCUUGGAGACAAGGUCGGACUGGUUACCCUUUGGUUGAUGCAGGAAUGAGAGAGCUAUGGGCAACUGGGUGGAUACAAAACCGAAUAAGAGUGAUCGUUUCAAGUUUCACUGUGAAAGUUCUGCUUCUUCCCUGGAGAUGGGGAAUGAAAUAUUUCUGGGACACGCUGAUGGAUGCCGAUUUAGAAAGCGAUAUCCUUGGUUGGCAGUAUAUCUCAGGGAGCUUACCAGAUGGCCAUGAGCUUGAGCAUUUGGACAGUCCAGAAGCUCAAGGCUCAAAAUUUGAUCCAGAGGGUGAAUAUGUAAGGCAUUGGCUGCCUGAGUUAGCACGUUUGCCAACCGAGUGGAUCCAUCAUCCUUGGGAAUCACCUGAUUCUGUGCUUAAAUUCUCAGGUGUAGAGUUUGGAUUUAACUAUUCGAAACCUAUCAUUGAGCUAGAUUUGGCUAGAGAACGCUUCACGAAGGCCAUAUUCAAGAUGUGGGAUAUGGAAGCAGCAGCAAAGGCUGCAAGUGCAAAUGGCACAGAUGAAGUUGUUGUUGACAACUCUGCCAGUGAAGAUUUGCCUAUCCCAAAGGUGAUAUUAAAGAAAACCUCUCCUUGUCCUACUGACUCCUCUAAUGAUCAGAAGGUACCGACACGUCAAAAUUCCAAGAGCAAUCAAUUUAAUAGGAAGAGAUCGAAAUUUAUGCAAGACGAAAGCCCACUCCCAGAUAAUCGGCACAAUCCUAAGAAAGCUGGGCCCUCGAGAACAAAUGAAGGCGUGAGCUCCACUGCCAAAUCUUCAAUGUCUAAGAAGCAGACAAAUAGCAGAAAUUCAUUUUCUGUUCCACAGUCAUAUUCCGCAUCAGAAGGCAACCCUUUUAUGGAGUGUGAAUCUUCUGAGAUGCAGCAGUCAUGGCAAGAACAGAUUAACAUGGAGCAGACUUCAAGGAAAAAUGGAGCCGCGGAAGAUGAAGGCCUCUGAUCCAGAACUCAUCGCGACUUUACUAAGUUCAUCGAGAAAGAGGACGGUUCUGGAUAUUGCAGUAAACACGGUAAAAUGUUUCCUCUUGGUAUGACUAUAGUUCGUAUGUAAUCUGUGGUAUAUAAACGAAGGGAACACUGGCUGAUAUCAGAUGUGCAUUCUGCCUCCACAAUAGUAGAGAUAGAGAGAUCGAGGAUGUACAAAUAUUUCUUGUAGUGAGCUAGCUAUAUAAUUUGUUUAUAUAACUUCACCUGAAUAAUUAAAAACUUCCAUUAAUUCGAACA